UGUCGCUGCCUCGAGCCCUCGAGUGAAGUCGCCUACUCGCCCAGUCGCCCGACUUCGAGUCGAAGAGGAUUAGACAUAUUUCAUUUUCCUCUGUUCCUCAGUGGCUAAACUCUCUCGGCCCCGAGUCUCUCAAUCGAAUCCUCGCCGCCACCGGACGCCGCUAAUCAAUUCCGGCGACACACAGACCGGAACGCUGGAAGCCCUGUCCGUCUUUGAUUUCCACCGAUUUCCAUCUCUCUUUCCAUCGGUAAGGUUUCGAUAUUGAUAAUUUUUGCAAUGAGAUUCUGCAUUGAAGAAGACUCGGCUUCAGAGAUUGAAGAAUUCCAGGUACUCUGCAUUUGUUUUGGCUGAGUGGUUCUAGACUUUCAGCCCCGAUGAAUAAAUCAUCUUCAUCAUCUCAGUAAGCUAAUUGCAGUAAGCCAAAUAUAUAUGCAGUAAGCUAAUGAAGAGGCAAUCAAAAUCUGCUGCUACUAGUUCCAGUGCUAAUCCGAAAUCAACUUCUUUAUCUCAGAUCAACACUAGUGUCGGAGCGGAAUGUUACCUCCAAAGUCGAAGCCUUCAAAGUCGAAGACAAUAGCAAUCCGAGCUUGAGAUUAUGCUAUUACCCUCAUUCAUAUGUUGAUGUUGGUUCCUUUUUUUUUUUAUGUUUAAUCUUUUAGUCAACUUAUAAAUUUUUAAUUUGUGAGGUUAGUGUUGAUGUAAUGAUGGACUUUUAUAAACUUUGGACUCUAUAUUUUUUGACAAUUUCAUAUAUUGAUGUUAGAAUUUGAUGGACUAUAUGAAAUUAUGAAUUGAAUUAUAUGGA